AUUAAUAAUUUAUAUGUAAUUAGUUAAAUUUAUAUUU
rnacentral:tRNA from 1 species